GAAUCCUACGGGGGGCAGCAGUAGGGAAUCUUUCACAAUGGGCGAAAGCCUGAUGGAGCAACGCCGCGUGCAGGAUGAAGGCCUUCGGGUUGUAAACUGCUUUUAUAAGCGAGAAAUAUGAUGGUAACUUAUGAAUAAGGAUCGGCUAACUACGUGCCAGCAGCCGCGGUAAUACGUAGGUGGCGAGCGUUAUCCGGAAUGAUUGGGCGUAGAGUGUGCGCAGGCGGUCCUGCAAGUCUGGA
rnacentral:rRNA from 1 species